UACGUAGGUGGCAAGCGUUGUCCGGAUUUACUGGGUUUAAAGGGUGCGUAGGCGGGAUGCCAAGUCAGCGGUAAAAAUGCGGUGCUCAACGCCGUCGAGCCGUUGAAACUGGCGUUCUUGAGUGGGCGAGAAGUAUGCGGAAUGCGUGGUGUAGCGGUGAAAUGCAUAGAUAUCACGCAGAACUCCGAUUGCGAAGGCAGCAUACCGGCGCCCUACUGACGCUGAGGCACGAAAGCGUGGGUAUCGAACAGG
rnacentral:rRNA from 1 species